rnacentral:rRNA from 1 species
UACGUAGGGUGCGAGCGUUAAUCGGAAUUACUGGGCGUAAAGCGUGCGCAGGCUGUUCUGUAAGUCAGAUGUGAAAUCCCCGAGCUCAACUUGGGAACUGCGUUUGAAACUACAGGACUAGAAUAUGUCAGAGGGGGGGUAGAAUUCCACGUGUAGCAGUGAAAUGCGUAGAGAUGUGGAGGAAUACCAAUGGCGAAGGCAGCCCCCUGGGAUAAUAUUGACGCUCAUGCACGAAAGCGUGGGGAGCAAACGAGGAU